GCGCCCGUAGCUCAGAUGGAUAGAGCGUUAGCCUCCGAAGCUAAAGGUCGUGAGUUCGACCCUCACCGGGCGCGCCA
rnacentral:tRNA from 1 species